AUCCACAGAUACAGAUUCAUGCAUCAGCUAUUAUUUAUUACUUACAUAAUAUUUGCAGACAGUAAAAAUAUGUAGGUCUUUUAUUCCAACUUCCUUCCAUGUGGCUUACGUCACUAAGAACUUGGAAUAAUUGAUGAUGAAAAUUAGUUCGCGCCAUUGUUUAGGGAAAAAACGACGCUUAAAAAAAAAAAUGCCAAUUGUCAACAAAUUAUACGAAAAAUGAGUUUCGCCGUUUUUUGGGAUUGGAUUAAUAAUUUAAGAAUAAGUAAGAAUAAAGGCAAAAGACAAUACGAGCAGCGGGCGGCGUGCGAGACAGAGGACAGAGCACAAUCGAGUAAAACGCCACGCUUCUGUGACAUUAGUCCGAUGACCUUGGAAUAUCGAUCCAAUCGGGGAAAUGUGUUUUCCGAACCCGCGAAUCACCGCGAUAUCUUUGAUCGAGGAUUCAUUUUUUUCCUCGAUCGUGCAAGGUCGAAUCACGAGAUGUAUCGUUGCUUGCAUCGAUGUAAUCGGGAAAAAGCGUGUGAAGUUAAUUGAUGAUUUUAAUUGUCAUUAACUUAUCUAUCACUCGCGCCCAACCGUCAGUUGCAAGUCUUUGAUUGUCAAACUCGUUCUCUAAUUUACACGUGCGCACAUUCAUCUUCUGUCACGUGAUACAUAUUGCAUUAUAUUACUAUAAGAAAUAAUAACAAGUCGCAUUUUGCAAUUGAGACGGAUCUUGCUUAGUAAUAUUUUCUAUCAAUUAUUAAAUUUUUUUUCACUUCUAUAAACUGCACACAAUAUGUUUGUUGAACUUGAAAUAAUGAACUGAAGUUAAAAAAAUAUCUGUUAUUAUUAUAAUAAUUUGAUUGAAUCACAUUUAAGAUCACCUUUGACUGAAAAAUUACACUUUAAAAAGAAA